ensembl:processed_transcript A430035B10Rik RIKEN cDNA A430035B10 gene
ACACCUUCGGUAAUGCACUAGCAAACAGAAGCCUGGAGAGGCUGAAGUUUUCCACGCAGGGCACCGUCGGGGAGACGCAGCCCGGGAGGACGGGAGGGUUGGGCUCGCUACCUCUGCACACGGGCGAGCCGGGACUCCGUCUCUCAGAGGGUGUCAUGUGACCAGCUCACCAUGCUCCUGCCUCCGUUCCUUCUGGGCCAUAGUGGACUGCAUCCUUAAAUUGGGAAGCUACUUCUCUAUCUCUCCAACUGUGCUACUCUACAUUUGGAAAGCAGACAGUAGCAGCUAACAGGAGGGAGAAUACUUAAAAGAGCAUGGAUUUCCAUUUCAGAAGACCUGCCAGAGACAGGCUUCUCAGGAAACAGAAAGAACGCUUUUGACCCUGCAAGAUUAAAGGACACUUUGGGAGAACCAUACUUCUGUAGAUAGACUUUCCCAGGCCGCACAAGUGCCCACCUCAGUGAUGAGAGACAUGUCAGAUGCCUGGCCUGACAGUCUUUGUUCAUCUGUAAAAUCUGAUAAUUAAACUGGUUUAGCAAAAGACAUAAUAUUCAUAAUUAGAAUGAGUCUGCAUUUCCUAGGCCUGAUGAAUUUUUUAGAACUACAUUAAGUGGCUAACUGAAAACGUGAAGAUCAAAGAAAAGGAUGAGUCAUGCUUCUUGAGGUAAAAGAGUGUCUGACAGAAUCUGUUGUCUCUGAAGACAUGAAAAUAAAGAAACAGGAACCAUAUAAUGCCUUUCUUAUUCUACUCUAAGAAAGCAAUGGAAGGCAUGAUGAAACAAUCUCUACAGAAACAUAAAUGUCAAAAUGUGAGCAUUUUUGCCUUUAUUUCAGUCUAAAAAUAAAUAAAUAAAAUGUCAAAGAGUCCUGUUUUCAGUUGAACUUCUCUGUACAGAUAUGACAAUGUACUGAGUACUGAAAAAUCUGUUCACAGAAUAUGACUGAAUAUUUUCUAUGCAAUGGUGUUAAGCAAAUUGCCAAAGUUCAUUUACUAUAAGAUCCUGGUUCAUAUUUUAGUAUCUCUGAAAAAAAUGGAUAAAGUCUAAAAUGAACAAUAUGUUCAAUUUACAGCAUGGUUUUCUUCACUCCACUUUAAAUGAUGGGACAAUCUGUAACAGUGCCUUCGAUUUGAUGAAGCAUCUGUUCAAAUAAAGAAAGUGCUCCGUGAGCUUUCCCAAUGCAGUCCAAACCCCAAACCUCUGUUUAGAGUCCCUGGGGCCUUCUAGAUGUCUUAACACUGGAGGGCUAACUAAAAAGACACUAAGGAAUUCUUCCAAGAAGAUCUCCUGCUGGGGACACAGGUGGCAAGCUCUGUCAGGGGAUGUUGGGAGACACAAUGAGCUGAAGUAUCUUGCUUCGCCUUUCAGUCUGCCUCAUUGAUUCACUCACCAAGCUCUAGAGAGUCUCGGUCCCUUCAUACUGGACUAGAGAUUGUCCCUAUGCUGGAAACCGGAAUGAGAUCCUUUUUUUUUUCCCAAAAAUGUUCAGAAUAUUCCAAAUGUAUCCGAGUUUUGGUUGUAAAGAGGUAUCUUACACCUUUAAAAGAACUAGAAACUUUAAGACUAUAAGGGAGAUGAAUUUUGCAAAAUGUUUAGUUAGCACCCCUACAACAUAAGUUCUUCAUUGAAUGAGUUAACAAUCUUAAGGGAACAAAGCAGACUCUUAGUAGUGUGAAAUAGCAGAAGUACACUGGUUUAUAUUUUUAAUUUUUCUUUAUUUAUUUGAAGGAGUGGGAAAUGCACUCAGAACCUCUUACACACUAGGCAAGUACUCUACCACCAUGUUAUAUCCCCAGACUCAAUAAUAUAUUGUUUUUCAAAUGGUGAACAUAUAUAUGCAUAUAUUUGUAUAUGUUACAUAUGUAUAAAAUAUUUCGAUGCAUUGGUGAAGCUUAGAAAGUUUAUCAUAUCUAUUACUUCUGCAAGAAAGUAAUCUAUUACUGGAGUUUGCUAUUAUCUUUCUAAAUUUAGUCACAAUAAACAUGUACUUUAUCAUAUAUUAUUAUAUGUUAUAUAGCAUUAUAUAAUUAC